rnacentral:rRNA from 1 species
UACGUAGGUGGCAAGCGUUGUCCGGAUUUACUGGGCGUAAAGGGAGCGUAGGYGGAUAUUUAAGUGGGAUGUGAAAUACCUGAGCUUAACUUGGGUGCUGCAUUCCAAACUGGAUAUCUAGAGUGCAGGAGAGGAAAGUGGAAUUCCUAGUGUAGCGGUGAAAUGCGUAGAGAUUAGGAAGAACMCCAGUGGCGAAGGCGACUUUCUGGACUGUAACUGACRCUGAGGCUCGAAAGCGUGGGGAGCAAACAGGAUUAGAUACCCUGGUAGUCCACGCCGUAAACGAUGGAUACUAGGUGUGGGGGUUUCAACACCUCCGUGCCGCCGUUAACACAAUAAGUAUCCCGCCUGGGGAGUACGGUCGCAAGAUUAAAACUCAAAG